rnacentral:rRNA from 1 species
AUUGAACGCUGGCGGCAGGCCUAACACAUGCAAGUCGAACGAGUGGGGGAGGGGUGAGUAAUGUCUGGGAAACUGCCAGAUGGAGGGGGAUAACGACUGGAAACGGGAGCUAAUACCGCAUACUAUCAGAUGUGCCCAGAUGGGAUUAGCUAGUUGGUGGGGUAACGGCUCACAAAGGCGACGAUCCCUAGCUGGUCUGAGAGGAUGACCAGCCACACUGGAACUGAGACACGGUCCAGACUCCUACGGGAGGCAGCAGUGGGGAAUAUUGCACAAUGGGCGAAAGCCUGAUGCAGCCAUGCCGCGUGUAUGAAGAAGGCCUUCGGGUUGUAAAGUACUUUCAGCGGGGAGGCGUUACCCGCAGAAGAAGCACCGGCUAACUCCGUGCCAGCAGCCGCGGUAAUUC